rnacentral:rRNA from 1 species
AAAUUGAAGAGUUUGAUCAUGGCUCAGAUUGAACGCUGGCGGCAGGCCUAACACAUGCAAGUCGAACGGUAACAGAAAGCAGCUUGCUGCUUUGCUGACGAGUGGCGGACGGGUGAGUAAUGUCUGGGAAACUGCCCGAUGGAGGGGGAUAACUACUGGAAACGGUAGCUAAUACCGCAUAACGUCGCAAAACCAAAGAGGGGGACCUUCGGGCCUCUUGCCAUCGGAUGUGCCCAGAUGGGAUUAGCUAGUAGGUGGGGUAA